CCUACGGGAGGCAGCAGUGAGGAAUAUUGGUCAAUGGGCGCGAGCCUGAACCAGCCAAGCAGCGUGAAGGAUGACUGCCCUACGGGUUGUAAACUUCUUUUGUAAGGGAAUAAAGUGCGGCACGUGUCCCUUUUUGCAUGUAUUUUAAGAAUAAGGAUCGGCUAACUCCGUGCCAGCAGCCGCGGUAAUACGGAGGAUCCGAGCGUUAUCCGGAUUUAUUGGGUUUAAAGGGUGCGUAGAUGGGUUGGUAAGUCAGUUGUGAAAGUUUGCGGCUCAACCCUAAAAGUGCAAUUGAUACUGGCAGCCUUGAGUUCAGUUGAGGUAGGCGGAAUUCGUGGUGUAGCGGUGAAAUGCUUAGAUAUCACGAAGAACUCCGAUUGCGAAGGCAGCUUACUAAACUGCCACUGACAUUGAGGCUCGAAAGUGUGGGUAUCAAACAGGAUUAGAUACCCUUGUAGUC
rnacentral:rRNA from 1 species